AAUCCGUGCUGCCCUCAAACCAAGGCACACAGCCUGUUUUUAUUUAUAGGUUGUUUUCACCUUGUCAAUUUCUAAUAAUUUUCUAACAAGUUUUUUCUUUUCUAAGAACAGUUUAUUCAUUCACAUAAAAGUAGUCAUUUUUACUUUUGCGGACAUAUUCAUUUUUUUUACAUUUCUGACCUGGACAAAAUUCACCAAACACUCCCCAAUUGUUUGUGCAGUUCAAGUCUGCAGACAUUUGCUCAUCUCCAGUCCUGCACACACGUUCACAUAUUCCGUCUGUUGCCUGCAUCGCAGUCAUAGUUGUUUUCGUUACCAAUAAUAACUUUGGAAAUGUGUGCGUUUCUAUCAAAGUAAGUGCCUUAUUACGUUAUAAUAGUUUCUGCAUGUCGUGUUAUGUCGUUUCUACUGUAGCAUAAUAUUUGUGUAUAUAUUCCUUAUAACCGAAGACACGCAUGGUAACGUUACUCAUUUCAUAACCUUUAUGGUGUUAUACUCAAUGCUUAGGUAGCUAACUACAUUCUUCUAUUAGCUCUGGAAAACAAUGCUAAUUGUGUCAGAGAAGUAUUAACAUGUGUUGUAUUUUGAAGCCUUAUGACUCCCAAGUGGCGCAGCUGUCUAAGGCACAAUGUCUCAGUGCUGGAGGUGUCACUACAGACACCCAGGUUCAAAUCCAGACUGCGUUUCUAUCAAAGUUGUCCACCUUCCCUGUGGCUGACAUGGUUGCUGUAUGGACAGUGGAGAGGACAUGGAUGUCUCGUUUGUCAUGACACUUUACUGCCAGCUGUUGACAUUUCUUAUUUUGUAUAACGGGUCAUUUAGGAUGGCAGUAGCAUUGUUGAUGAAAUGCAGUCAUCGCAGCAGAACUAGGAAGCAGUCUUGGGAAAAGAGUUGCAAAGAUAGGAUCUGUGCUCCAGUAUUCUCUUAGGGAGUUCUUCUUUACUAUCCCCAUGAGAAGGACUGUCACCAGGAAGGUAUACAUUUCACUAAUUGUGGAAGCCCCCCCCACUUCUGGCUCUCUCUUCUCCUGUAGCUCCAAGGCAUAGCAAUUGGUCUCUGCUACGUCUCCCACCAGCUCCUCUGUCAGAAACAACUUGAAGCACUCUGUCUCAGAUGGAAAUGGCAAGGGGCGUUGCACUCCAGACUGGGACACAUCAAAGCAAACAGCAGGGCCAGGAGGGGUGAAAUGGCUAGCAGCCUUCCAGCUACCACAGAACUCCUGUACUUCAUCCACUGUCGGUCUUCCUCCAUCACCAC
rnacentral:lncRNA from 1 species